rnacentral:lncRNA from 1 species
GGUCGACACGGAACCGUCGGUAUAGAGGUUUUAUCUACCCUCCCACUUUCCCCAAAUCAUUUCAGUAUAUACACUCUUUCUCUCUCGUUACAGACGAACGGACCAGAGCGAUCGUGAACGGAGCGAACAAGGUUAGGAUAUGCGAUGGUGAGACGGAGCGAUCAUGACCGGAGCGAACAAGGGUAUACCAUCAUCGAUCUCUAUCUAUAUUUGUAUCUUUCUCCAUACCCAUAUUUCUCUCCUUUUUACAUCUUUACUCUUUUAUUCUAAACCCUAAUUAUUACAGCUACUUUAUCGAUUCACUCCUUUUUGGGACUUCUGCAGUGCAUCUUAAAAAGCUUUGUUUUUUUUUACUGAUGGAUUUUGAAAUGGCAGAUUCUUCUAGGGUUUUGAGUUCAAGCUUAAUUUCUGUUACCCCUUAGGUAACCACUUUCAAUUUCAUUGAUCCAUCAUUAUUUUUUGGUUUAAUUAGUUUGAUUUGUGUGUACAUCUUUAUGUAUAUACAUGGGUUGAAGUUAUUGAACUUCUAGCUUGAAUUUAUGUAGAUCGUGAAGUGUGUUAGUUGUAUUAGCUAACUGCUCAAUUUUCUCUCUAUAUUAUAAAAAAAAUUCAGAAUUUCUCAAUAUGGAUUGAAGUGAAUCAGUUAUUGAGCUUUUGUGAUGUGUUCGGUAUUGUUCAUUUUUGGUUACAUUCAUUAUCUUCUACAUUCAUUAUCUUCCCAAUUAUAUUUCUGGAGGUUUGAUUUGAUUACAUAUUAAUUGUUGAUGAGUGUCUCUGUCUCUUCUCCUUGUUUUGAGAUAUAUCAUUACACAUUAAGCAAGAGCUCUGAGGGCUUCUUGAUUAAUUCUGGAUAUAUUGUCAACAUAUUCUGUCGGUGCUAUGAAGUUUUCAAAGUUAAUUCAGGAGUUAUAAUCAACAUAUUGAGUCGAAGUUCUUGGUUUUACUGUAGGUACAAGCUGAAACUGAAUUAAUAUCAAUUGGGAGGCAAGUCAAUAACCAGCAAGUGGUUUUUUAUCUCUUGAUACUAAUUUAACCGAUUCUUUUGCAAAAAUAUUUAACAUUUAUUGUUCUUAAAUUUUAAAUAUGAUGUUCAUUUUGUGAUUUCAGGAGCUAUUGAACGAGAGAGCAAAUAGCUUUAACAUUUCCUAUGUUCUUCAACUGGGCAUGCAAGGAAUGGUACGAUCUAUAAGGGUGGCAGCAACAUAUUUCAAAACUGAAAUUUGUUUAUGGAUAUUGAUGUCUUUUGUUUUACAUUGUUGUAGUAUCUGAGCUCUAGAACACCAAAUUUUGAUGGCUAUUUUAGUGCUCAACAGAGCACUCAAGGAGAGGUACCUCUUCUCUAGUCUAAACUGCACCUCACAAAGCCUGGAUUCUUGAAACAAAUAACUAAUUACAUCAAAACCUCAAAACAAUUUAGCUGGAGUAAAGGAGCAAGUAUUGGAUGGCAUAGUGAUGAUAACAUACCUUAUCUUAAACAACGGGACUUCGCGAUGCGCAGCAACUUCUUUCAUGUCAUUCACAUCCAGAUUCCAUUUUUCUAUUGUUAAUGAUAUUUAAUGAUAUUUUCAUUAUGUCAUAAAUUGUAUUUUGGUUGUACAAUCAGCAACAAAUAAUUGAUCUCUACAUGUUGUUGUCUUUUAGUUUGGAAGAUGCUUUGAACUGACUCUGCUAUUGGUUAUGUACCAAAUGGUUUACUCAAGCCUGAUUACCUUGUGUUUUGGUGAUGAUUUGAGUAGUUGUGAUCUUGUUUGCACACUAGAAUAAUUGAGGAUCUUCCCUUGCCAGUGUUGUCUGAAUAUUACUACUAUUUCAGCUGCUAUAUAGUGGUAGUGACAAUAUGUUAAUCAAGUAUUCCUAACUUUUUCCUUUGUUGGUUAAAGGUAGUGUGUUACUUGAAUACUGAUGGUAUCGAUUUUGGAGGAGGACUUUUCCACUUCCAGCAUGGGAUGCCUAUAACUGUUGCGCCGAUGGCAGGUGUAAGUAUUUUUAUUGUUGAAUGAGGUAUCAAUUUACUAAGCUAUUUCUUAGUAAAGAACUAUUAUUAGGUCUGGAAUGAAUAUCUUAAACUUCUGGAUUCUAAUGAUGCUAUUUUGAAUUUUUGAUAUUUUUUCCCCUCAUGUCUAUUCCUUAAAAUGAACCAAGAUUAAAGAAUUCUACUUGAUAUUAAUUGGUUAAGGUUAUUAACAAUUAGUUGUGUUUUAAUUAGAUAUCAACUGAUAAUUACUUGUUGAUUAGCUUUGCUAUUUUUUAGGACAUUUUAAUAUACACUAUUGACAGCCGAAACAUUCAUUCUGUAGAUGAGGUAGAUCUAAAAUACUCUGUCUCUUCCUCCCCCCUUCAUUAAUUUUUACUACUUUAGUUAUUUGUUUUGCUGUAGGAAGAAACUAUGAAUAUUACAUCAAAACACUUGAAAGAUAAACACCUCCCUAGAUAGGAUUGUAAGUUUGCCUAACUGUUAACUAUUAACUAUUUUGGUGAAGAACAGAGCUCGACAAACCAUUCUCUAGAGCUUAUAGAAAGCUAGAAAUGUCUUUGAUAUUUUCCUGCCUUGUAAGCCUCAAACUUGUGUAAAUUAUUUCCGUCUUUUAAAUACUACACGAGUUUGUUUUUAUAUUUUAAAUAUGAUGAAAUAAUUGCCCUUUCUCUUCCAUUAUUUCUUUUAGUUUGGGAUCUACUUGUUUAUUGUUAUUGUGAAUUACAUUUGCUGCUGACUCAAUUGAAAAACUGUAAUUUUUGAGACAGUUAUACAUUCUUGAUUAUUAUUUCUGUGUAUUUAUGCUUGGCGUUAAUUAUGUCCAGACCAAUUUAAAGUUAUGGAUUAUGUAGCCUUUCUGAGGCUUGAGUUGAAUUGGAAUGAUGCUAGGAAGAUUUUGCAGGUGGUUUGGUGUUUUUCUUCCUUCACUGAUGUUUGAAACGGCAAAAAGGCUAUUGGAUGAUGUGGCAUGUGGGUCUCCAUGAGGCCAAAUUUGUGACAAUAAAUUUGCUCUAAAUUUGAUUAAGCAAUUGUUAAGUCUUGAGUUGUAAUGUAACUGAUUUUAAAUGAUGUAUAUAAUAUUUUUUAUGUUUUAUUUUAUAGUAUACUUGUGUUUGUUGAAUAAAUGUGCAUUAUUAAUUAUUAUUUUUUUUGAAAUCUAAAAAG